rnacentral:rRNA from 1 species
UCUUUUCAUUGUGUGCCAGCAGCCGCGGUAAAACGUAGGUCACAAGCGUUGUCCGGAAUUACUGGGUGUAAAGGGAGCGCAGGCGGGAAGACAAGUUGGAAGUGAAAUCCAUGGGCUCAACCCAUGAACUGCUUUCAAAACUGUUUUUCUUGAGUAGUGCAGAGGUAGGCGGAAUUCCCGGUGUAGCGGUGGAAUGCGUAGAUAUCGGGAGGAACACCAGUGGCGAAGGCGGCCUACUGGGCACCAACUGACGCUGAGGCUCGAAAGUGUGGGUAGCAAACAGG